rnacentral:rRNA from 1 species
ACGUAGGGGGCAAGCGUUGUCCGGAUUUAUUGGGCGUAAAGAGCGUGUAGGCGGCCGCACAGGUCCGUUGUGAAAACUGGAGGCUUAACCUUCAGACGUCGAUGGAAACCGUGCGGCUAGAGUCCGGAAGAGGAGAAUGGAAUUCCUGGUGUAGCGGUGAAAUGCGCAGAUAUCAGGAAGAACACCCGUGGCUAAGGCGGUUCUCUAGUACGGUACUGACGCUGAGACGCGAAAGCGUGGGGAGCGAACAGGAUUAGAUACCCUGGUAGUCCACGCCGUAAACGAUGGGUGCUAGGUGUGGGGGGUGUCGACUCCCCCCGUGCCGAAGCUAACGCAUUAAGCACCCCGCCUGGGGAGUACGGCCGCAAGGCUA